rnacentral:rRNA from 1 species
CAGCAGCCGCGGGAAUACAGAGGGUGCGAGCGUUAAUCGGAUUUACUGGGCGUAAAGCGUGCGUAGGCGGCUUUUUAAGUCGGAUGUGAAAUCCCUGAGCUUAACUUAGGAAUUGCAUUCGAUACUGGGAAGCUAGAGUAUGGGAGAGGAUGGUAGAAUUCCAGGUGUAGCGGUGAAAUGCGUAGAGAUCUGGAGGAAUACCGAUGGCGAAGGCAGCCAUCUGGCCUAAUACUGACGCUGAGGUACGAAAGCAUGGGGAGCAAACAGGAUUAGAUACCCGCGUAGUCCCUGUCUCUUAUAC